UUAUACAAAAUUCUGAAACGAGACUACAUAUACAGUGAUGAGCAGCAAAUGCUACAAUGGCGGCGCUGCAUUAAUCGACGAUGCAUUGGCGGCGCUGCAUUAAACGACACCGUUUGCUCUCCUAUCAGGCUUGUAGUCCUGCAUCAUCACAAGACUGCCUCGGGAUGUUGGGUUCGGGGACAUCAACUAAUGGGAAUGUACCUAAAGUGAUGGACAGGGACAGGAGUGGAGCUAGAUUAUGAUUAUUUCAAGGAGAAACUCUUGUGUGGGGACGGUAACAGUGAUUUCAAUGGUGCCAUUGCUGAAUUCCGGAGAGUGAGGAUGGUUAUCUGUGGAGGUGGCGCUUUCCGAAUAGUAAUGCAUUUAGCAGUGGAUAUAAGGAUUUGAAUCUUGAAUUUGAUGUUACAUUAAAUACCUCCUUGUUUCAGCAGCUGACCAAAUAUUCAUUUCUCAAAUGGUGAGUCACGCUACAAUGUCAUGUCAGCUUUCACCAAGUACAGAAUGAAUCUAUCCAUUCAGGUAAACAGAAAAAGAUAGAGGUUCUCGAGCUGUCGUAUGAACUAACUCUUGGUGGCGGUGCUUUUGGAAAUCGGUUGGUAAAUUUGAUGAUCUUUUACUGCAUUUGGGCUGUCAAUGCGGAUUUCAUCCAUGAGCUAUGGAGUGAACUUGGGAAAUAUUUAGCUUUUAAAAGCCUCAAAAUGAACCUGAGCUCCACCUACUUACAAUUAUUGCAGAAGAAAUCCCUUUACAUCUACUAUCAUGCUCGGAUAAGAAAGGUCUGUAAAAUGUUCAACCAUAUGCACUGAAGAUUUAGACCUUUUAUAUGUGAUUAGCGUGACCGAAUCUCUGCUCGAAUGAAAAUCGACAGACGAUUGAGGAUGACGCCAAGGGGAAGUCGGGCGACAUUGUCUCGUGCUCGUUGGAGACCCCCUGCAUGUAAUGUUCCAGCAACGGUAUGCUACUCGACUGCCCUAGCUCCUCUACCUCCGAGCACAGCCCGUUUUUCUUGAACACACGACAUAAAGCGUAGGAGUCCUGUGAAAC